AACGAACGCUGGCGGCAGGCUUAACACAUGCAAGUCGAACGGAUCCUUCGGGAUUAGUGGCGCACGGGUGAGUAACGCGUGGGAAUGUACCCCUUGGUAAGGAAUAAUAUCUGGAAACGGAUACUAAUACCUUAUAAUGACUUUGGUCCAAAGAUUUAUCGCCAAGGGAUCAGCCCGCGUCUGAUUAGGUAGUUGGUGAGGUAACGGCUCACCAAGCCGACGAUCAGUAGCUGGUCUGAGAGGAUGAUCAGCCACACUGGGACUGAGACACGGCCCAGACUCCUACGGGAGGCAGCAGUGAGGAAUAUUGGACAAUGGGGGAAACCCUGAUCCAGCCAUGCCGCGUGAGUGAAGAAGGCCUUAGGGUUGUAAAGCUCUUUCAAUGGUGAAGAUAAUGACGGUAGCCAUAGAAGAAGCCCCGGCUAAAUUCGUGCCAGCAGCCGCAGUAA
rnacentral:rRNA from 1 species